rnacentral:hammerhead_ribozyme from 1 species
AUCCAGCCGACGAGUCCCAAAUGGGACGAAACGCAUGUCCUCUAU